rnacentral:rRNA from 1 species
AGUGAACGCUGGCGGUAGGCCUAACACAUGCAAGUCGAACGGCAGCACAGGAGAGCUUGCUCUCUGGGUGGCGAGUGGCGGACGGGUGAGGAAUACAUCGGAAUCUACUCUGUCGUGGGGGAUAACGUAGGGAAACUUACGCUAAUACCGCAUACGACCUACGGGUGAAAGCAGGGGAUCUUCGGACCUUGCGCGAUUGAAUGAGCCGAUGUCGGAUUAGCUAGUUGGCGGGGUAAAGGCCCACCAAGGCGACGAUCCGUAGCUGGUCUGAGAGAAUGAUCAGCCACACUGGAACUGAGACACGGUCCAGACUCCGACGGGAGGCAGCAGUGGGGAAUAUUGGACAAUGGGCGCAAGCCUGAUCCAGCCAUACCGCGUGGGUGAAGAAGGCCUUCGGGUUGUAAAGCCCUUUUGUUGGGAAAGAAAUCCAGCUGGUUAAUACCCGGUUGGGAUGACGGUACCCAAAGAAUAAGCACCGGCUAACUUCGUGCCAGCAGCCGCCGUAA